rnacentral:rRNA from 1 species
UACGUAGGGUGCGAGCGUUUGUCCGGAAUUAUUGGGCGUAAAGAGCUCGUAGGCGGUGUGUCACGUCGAUCGUGAAAACUUACAGCUUAACUGUGAGCGUGCGGUCGAUACGGGCAUCACUGGAGUUCGGCAGGGGAGACUGGAAUUUACGGUGUAGCGGUGAAAUGCGUAGAUAUCGUAAGGAAGACCAGUGGCGAAGGCGGGUCUCUGGACAGUUCCUGACGCUGAGGCACGAAGGCCAGGGGGAGCAAACGGGG